CAACUACUCCCUCUGUCCCAAAUUUCGUAUCUUAGAUUUUUCAAGAUACGGAUGUAUCUAAUACUAAAAUGUGACUUGAUACAUCCGUAUCUAGACAAAUCUAAGACAAGAAUUUUGGGAUGGAGGGAGUACUUU
rfam:Triticum aestivum genome assembly, contig: Triticum_aestivum_CS42_TGACv1_scaffold_433184_5DL